UACGAAGGGGACUAGCGUUGUUCGGAAUUACUGGGCGUAAAGCGCACGUAGGCGGAUUUGUAAGUCAGGGGUGAAAUCCCGGGGCUCAACCUCGGAACUGCCUUUGAUACUGCAAAUCUCGAGUCCGAUAGAGGUGGGUGGAAUUCCUAGUGUAGAGGUGAAAUUCGUAGAUAUUCGGAAGAACACCAGUGGCGAAGGCGGCUCACUGGCCCGGUACUGACGCUGAGGUGCGAAAGCGUGGGGAGCAAACAGG
rnacentral:rRNA from 1 species